rnacentral:rRNA from 1 species
AUGCAACGCGAAACUUACCACCUUUGACAUGUACGGAAGCCUUUAGAGAUAGAGGCGUGCUCGAAAGAGAGCCGUAACACAGGUGCUGCAUGGCUGUCGUCAGCUCGUGUCGUGAGAUGUUGGGUUAAAGUCCCGCAACCGAGCGCAACCCUUGUCAUUAGUUGCUACAUUCAGUUGGGCACUCUAAUGAGACUGCCGGUGACAAGCCGAGGAAGUGGGGAUGACGUCAAGUCCUCAUGGCCCUUAUAGGUGGGGCUACACACGUCAUACAAUGGCUGGUACAAAGGGUUGCCAACCCGCGAGGGGGAGCUAAUCCCAUAAAGCCAGUCGUAGUCCGGAUCGUAGUCUGCAACUCGACUACGUGAAGUCGGAAUCGCUAGUAAUCGUGGAUCAGAAUGUCACGGUGAAUACGUUCCCGGGUCUU